rnacentral:lncRNA from 1 species
CAGAUUCCAAAUAAACUCAUCAAAUGAUAGAACCCCAAACCAAAUAGGAAUUUGACCCAAAUGAUUUCAAUAACACCCCACUGACUCGAAAUAUUCCCAGUUACCCUCCGAAAAUUAUCAACAGACCAACCCUUGACCAGAAUCAACUAAUCAGGAUCCAAAACUUACUCAAAUUUAACUCAAAAUAUUUCUGAAACUUCAGCAGGGCCAACUCAAACAAAACUCAACUUAAUUUGGCCCAAAAUCACUCCAAAUGGACCUCUAAGCUUGAGUAACCAAAGAUCAAACUUAAGAAUGUGAAUCUACGACUAACUUGAAACUAACCUAAUCCCAAAAUCACUCCAAAUGGACCUCUAAGUUUAAGCAACCAAAGAUCGAACUUAAGAAUGUGAAUCUACGACUAACUUGAAACUAACCUAAGGUUCAGUAAUGGAACAGUCCUAUUCUUUUUGAUUUUUUGGAAAUUUUCUAGUGUUUUUGGUUUUGUUUUUUUGAAGAAAACUUAGAUUUAAGGGAAUUUCAGAUCUGGAAGCUUGGGGUAUUUUUUGGGCUACCAAACUUGAAAUUACACUGAAAUUUUAAUUGAAACAGUGCUAUUUUUUUUUUGAAGUUUUCUGAUUUUUUUUUAUUUUUCUUUUGAAGAUUUGAAGUUUGGAUCUUCAGAUUUCAUAUCUGAAUUUAUAAAGAAAGGCAAGGAAUUG